GGGUCGGGCAGACCGGGAAACAACGCGCACCGUCCGCGAGCCCACACGUGGGCGCCGCUCUCGUGGUCGCGGUUCACCGACGACGCCGAGUUAAGCUAAAGGAGUGGGCUGACUUUCACUGAGCCGAGAUUCAGUCCCCGGAGAGCCAAGGUUAUGGACAGAGGUGAAUGAACUAAUGGUAACACAAUGAGAAGGAAGCACGGAAUGGACAGCUGAUGUACGCCUCGGCCUUAUGUGGACGUGUGAAUGAUGUGAAUCUGCGUUUGCACGCUGUCAUUUGCGUAUUUAUCCUAUUGUGCCUAAAAUGCAGUACGAUUUUUUUUUUGUAUUGUGACAUUGUAUAGCAUGCGAUUGUUACUCGUCACUUAUGGUCUACAUUUUGUCUACAGCGAUGUGCUAUUGUACUGUGGUGUGUAAGUGCUCUUUGGAAAUUUUCAGGCUGACAUAACAUGUAUUUUGUAUUGGAUGAAGGACUACACUAGACUAUUGUCCUAGUGUGGCUGCACUAUUAUCAGUAUGUCUGCCAAUAAAAGCUGUCUUAAACAGAA